rnacentral:rRNA from 1 species
GCCUAACACAUGCAAGUCGAACGCGAAAGGGGGCAACCCUGAGUGGAGUGGCAAACGGGUGAGUAAUACAUCGGAACGUGCCCAGUAGUGGGGGAUAACUAGUCGAAAGAUUAGCUAAUACCGCAUACGAUCUACGGAUGAAAGCGGGGGUCGCAAGACCUCGCGCUAUUGGAGCGGCCGAUGUCAGAUUAGCUAGUUGGUGGGGUAAAAGCUCACCAAGGCGACGAUCUGUAGCUGGUUUGAGAGAACGACCAGCCACACUGGAACUGAGACACGGUCCAGACUCCUACGGGAGGCAGCAGUGGGGAAUUUUGGACAAUGGGCGCAAGCCUGAUCCAGCCAUGCCGCGUGAGUGAAGAAGGCCUUCGGGUUGUAAAGCUCUUUCGGCAGGAACGGAAUGGUUCGUGCUAAUACCACGGACUGAUGACGGUACCUGAAGAAGAAGCACCGGCUAACUACGUGCCAGCAGCCGCGGUAAUAC